AAAAAGGGUUGAUUGGCUAAAAAUGCCACACUCGUCCAAAAUUGGCUAAGUUUUGUAUGGCAAUCUAGACAUAUGGCCGACAUAAUUUAUGGAAAUUGACUUUGAAGGAAAUAUUUGAGAGAUAAUAUACCUGAAGUAU